GUACAAAAAGCGAGAAAUUUGCGUGCGGUUUCGGCCCGUAAGUUGGAGGUGUAAGUCCUUUUUUGUAUU
rnacentral:tRNA from 1 species